rnacentral:lncRNA from 1 species
CAAAGGUUCCUACUGAAGGCCUCAAAAUUAUCUGUCUGAAGACUACUCAUUACCAUAAGGGAGGAGGAUCUUGGUGUUUCCAGAAAGCAGAUGUGUCAAUGGGAGUUAAAUGUCACCAACUACCUUUGGCUGAUUAAACUAUGUUUUGCUACAUCUGAUACAAUUCACCUGAGUCUUGAAAGGUCCUGCUCCUCAUUGUCAAGCAUUGAAUUCUCAUCGACAUUGAAGUUAUCCACCAACAAUUUUAUCUGGUAGCACAGGCAUCCCCACUUCCAUGGAUGAGUGGCUGAGACGCAGCUAUCAAAGGAAAUUUAUGAAGAGAUUUUGGAAUGUCUGAGGUGGCUACAUUCAGAGAAGAGACCAACAACAUAGAAUCUGGCAGAGAUUCACAAAGAAAUAAAGGAGGAUUUUCAGAUCUUCUCA